rnacentral:tRNA from 1 species
UCCCUUGUAGCUCAGUUGGUAAAGAAUCUGCCUAUAAUGUAGGAGACCUGGGUUCAAUUCCUGGGUUGGGAA